AGAGGGUGAAACUCCCGUCCGCCUGGUAGAAUGAGUCUUUGUCAACGAGUCGAGUUGUUUGGGAUUGCAGCUCUAAUUUGGUGGUAAAUUCCAUCUAAAGCUAAAUAUUGGUGGGAGACCGAUAGCGUACAAGGUACCGUGAGGGAAAGAUGCAAAGAACUUUGAAAAGAGAGUUAAAGACGUACCUGAAAUUGCUGAAACGGAAGCGAAGGAAACCAGUGUUUGUGGUUCAUAUUUCCUUGGCCACUUGUGGUUUGGGCGCUGUGAGCUUGCGUGGUUGGUGUUGAUCCUUUGGAAGAGCGCAGUCAGAGUUGAUGUCU
rnacentral:rRNA from 1 species